GAGAGCAGAGAACAAGAGUGCAGCCGUUUGGUGGAAGGUGAAGAAGAGGUGAGCAUCCAAAAGACGAGCAAGAGGACAGUUUCAUAGGAGACAUCACGGCACAAUAAAGGCUAGAAACUCGCCUGAUGUAGUGGUAAGGCCUUAUUCACCACUAGAUGGAGACAACCUGGCACAGUCUAUAGAUCCAGUCACACUUUCUACCUUCACCUGUGCAGUAAAGACUGAGAGCAGAGCUGAAACCAACCGUCCAAUCAGUGAGCAGCAUCAACACCUGAGCUUCAUUC